GGGGAUUUAGUUCAGUGGUAGAAUGCUUGCCUAGCAAGUGCAAGGCCCUGGGUUCAGUCCCCA
rnacentral:tRNA from 1 species